UAAUAAAGUUAUUAUCCUAGCCGCAGGCCA
rnacentral:piRNA from 1 species